UACGAAGGGGGCUAGCGUUGUUCGGAAUCACUGGGCGUAAAGCGCACGUAGGCGGAUGUGCCAGUCAGGGGUGAAAUCCCGAGGCUCAACCUCGGAACUGCCUUCGAUACUGGAAGUCUUGAGUCCGGGAGAGGUGAGUGGAACUCCGAGUGUAGAGGUGAAAUUCGUAGAUAUUCGGAAGAACACCAGUGGCGAAGGCGGCAUCCUGGACCGAUACUGACGCUGAGGAGCGGAAAGCCAGGGGAGCAAACGGGG
rnacentral:rRNA from 1 species